rnacentral:sRNA from 1 species
UUUUCAUGCGGCGCUUGUGAACGGUGGGAUUUUCCUUUAUGUUCCUAAAAAUGUCGAAGUGAAAGCACCAAUUCAAGCUGUUUUCGUACAAGAUAAA